GAGAGAGAGAGAGAGAGAGACAAAAUAGGGGAAGGGCAAAAGCAAGAAGCAACUUUAUAAAGUCCAGUUUAUUGUUCUAAGAUCCAAAGUCGUUCCUAGUACUUCAAGUUAAUUCUGCGGCAUAACAAUUAUUUGAAAAGACUCUGGAUUUCCAAACACAGACAACUUCCUGUUAAACAAGAACCACAGAGGAUACAACAAACUAUGAAAUUAAGAUCAUCAGCUAGAGGAUUUCUAGCUUUCCUUCUUUCUCUCCCAGCCCUAUAGGUCCAAACAACUCGGCAAGAGAACAACUGUGGGCGCUGAAGGCUGACGACUGGAUUACCUACCCAUCUAGUAAUGUCUGCGCUCCGAGAGGAUCAACGGUUCACAUCAGCUGCCACUAUGAAUGUCCUAGAAACCCGAACAUCAAUCUCACAGUCAAGGACAAAAAGUGGUUUUCUCAAAGAGAUGUUGAUGUGAAAACAGAUACAGACUAUGCAGGUCGUGUUGAAUACAAAUGCUCCAGGCCCAGCUGUACCAGUCACAUCUGUAAUGCAAACUGUACCCUGAGUAUCAGUGACCUGAGACAGAGUGACUCUAGUGAGUACAAGUUCAGGUUCAAAACAUACCAAGUAGGUAUACUGGAAUAUGCUGCUGGCCUUGGAGUGACGCUAUCUGUGACAGAUCUCGAGGUGAAAGUGUCCUCUCCUAUGCGUAACAAUCCUAGUUGGGUGGUCUUGGAAUGUCACAGUAUGUGUGGUCUAGCUGGUAACCCUACCUACAUCUGGAUCAGGAAUGGUCAGUCAGCAGGAGAAGGAAUGAAGUACCCUGGCAUUGUUUGGUCUCAAUAUAGCUAUUCAUGUGCUGUUAAAGGAUACGAACAUUUCCCCUCUCCUUCAGUGUACGCUCCAAAGACCCCCUCAGUGAUCGUGAGUCCCUCUGGUGAAAUAGUGGAGGGCAGUUCAUUGACUCUGAGCUGCAGCAGUGAUGCCAACCCAGCAGCUGACUACACCUGGUUCAAACAUGGAGACUCAGUGGGACAAUCAGGGCAGAACUACACAAUAACUAAUAUCACAUCUGAGCUUGGAGGAAACUAUUACUGCCAAGCUCAUAAUGCAAUCGGACGUCAUGAUUCUACCUUUUUGUUCAUUAAUUGGAAAGAGAGAUCAUCAUCAUCACAGACAACAGCCAUAGCUGUACGGGCAGUUGCUGUCUUACUGGCCUCCAUACUCCUUCUGGUUGCAAUCCUCUGGAUGAGAAAGAAGGCCUCCAGUAAAGCAUCUCGAAUGGGAACAGAUACCGUAGAUGAGCCACUUUCUGAUCCUGUGUAUGAGAACGUCUUAGCUCUGACCAAUCUCUCAGCUCCUGCAGCACAGAGAGAACCAACAGAGGGAACUCGCUGUGUGGCUGGCUCCCGUGUCCAUUCAGAUCAGAUCUAGGAGGACCUUUACUAUGUGAUCAAGGUCUAAAGACCCAAUGCUGUCCCUGAGUAAGCUUCUCUUGGUAUUUCCCAUAUCCCCUUCCAUGUCUUCUUUUCAGGGACCGCGAUCUGACAGAGACAGAAGGAACCUCUUAGUUGUACAAAACCAUCAAAUAACACCCUUGACUUUGAACCUGUGACGGCAGCAGGAUUUAGAAGGAUAAAGAAUAACUUAUUCAGUUUAAACAGGACAAUACGCUGGCUGAUCGUUUGCUGAAUAUACCUAAAUGUGCUGGCAAAUGCGGAUGAAAAUACAUUAGAUUAAGUGCAUUACACACAAAUACAGAUUGUAUUUAACAGUGUUACCAGAUUGUAUCAAAUGUAGUUUAGUCUGAACUGGGUUCGGAAAACCAUCACAUCCACAGGUUUACCACCAAUGUGGCUCAUUGCGUUGAAAUAUCAUCCACCAUCUAGGCUCCAUCCUUGUAAAAUGUGUUCGGCUGUAUGAAGCUAAACUCCAACUCAAACUGAUGAGAUGAUAAGACAGGUGACUGAGCUGCUGUAAAUAUUUGUAAUACAGUGAUCAGAAGCCAUGUUGGCUAUGUGUAAUGUCAUAAAACCGUAACUGAUUGUUACUUUAACCUUGUAUUAAAAUUUGAGUUUGCAUGAAUCAAUAA